rnacentral:misc_RNA from 1 species
AGCCGCGGUAAUUCCAGCUCCAAUAGCGUAUAUUAAAGUUGUUGCAGUUAAAAAGCUCGUAGUUGAAUUUCGGGAUCAAUAUGUUGGUCGUGCCUUUGGUACGUACUAGCUUAUUGAUUUCUCCCUUCUGACGAACCAUGAUGUCAUUAAUUUGGUGUCAUGGGGAAUCAGGACUGUUACUUUGAAAAAAUUAGAGUGUUUAAAGCAGGCUUACGCUUGAAUAUAUUAGCAUGGAAUAAUGAAAUAGGACGUUUUGAUUCUAUUUUGUUGGUUUCUAGGAUCGACGUAAUGAUUAAUAGGGAUAGUUGGGGGCAUUAGUAUUCAAUUGUCAGAGGUGAAAUUCUUGGAUUUAUUGAAGACUAACUACUGCGAAAGCAUUUGCCAAGGAUGUUUUCAUUAAUCAAGAACGAAAGUUAGGGGAUCGAAGACGAUCAGAUACCGUCGUAGUCUUAACCAUAAACUAUGCCGACUAGGGAUCGGAUGAUGUUAAUUUUUUAAUGACUCAUUCGGCGCCUUACG